rnacentral:rRNA from 1 species
ACGCAUCUGUGCAUGCAGCAUAUCAAUAAGCGGAGGAAAAGAGGGCUAAUUACCUACGCUUAGGAUGUUGACACACGCGCGUGCUCGACUCUAUACAUGACUCUGUGCAUGCCAUAUCAAUAAGCGGAGGAAAAGAAACUAACAAGGAUUCCCUUAGUAACGGCGAGUGAAGCGGGAAGAGCUCAGAUUUGAAAUCUUCAAGGCUUUUACCUUGACGAAUUGUAGUUUAAAGAAGUGUUUUCUGUUGAAGUUUUGGUAAAAGUUCUUUGGAAUAGGACAUCAUAGAGGGUGAGAAUCCCGUAUUUGACCAUUAUUUUCAGCUGUGUGAUACACUUUCAAAGAGUCGGAUUGUUUGGGAAUGCAGUCCAAAAUGGGUGGUAAAUUUCAUCUAAAGCUAAAUAUUGGCGAGAGACCGAUAGCGAACAAGUACCGUGAGGGAAAGAUGAAAAGAACUUUGAAAAGAGAGUUAAACAGUACGUGAAAUUGUCAAAAGGGAAGCGCUUUGACACCAGUGUUGUUUUCUCGAAAAUCAAUUAAAAAGAGUUUGAUUUUGUUGUGUAUUGACCUUAACAGCUUGCAUUUCAAUUUUCUUGCUUUUUUUAAUGCACUUUUCGUUUAACAAGUCAACAUCAGUUUCUUUUGUUGUAAAAAGGUCAUUGGAAGGUGGCUUUCUUUUCGGAGAAAGUGUUUAUAGCCUUUGACUCCUGCAAUCGGAGAGACUGAGGUCUGCAGCGUAGAUCCUUCGGGGUUAGAUACAUUUGUGCUAAGUUAUAGCUUUUUAUAGACAACUUGUUGACUAUGAUUAGUCUUGUAGCUUACUCGCUUAUGCUAUUUUACCUACGCUUAGGAUGUUGACACACGCGCGUGCUCG